AUGUAUUAUGAUAUUUAAACCAAAAUCUUGUACAGAUGCCAAGAACAUUGUUGAUACCAUGAUGUUUUAUAAUGUAAAAAAAAAGAAAAGAAAAUUAAUAAAAAUAUAUUUUAAAAAAUAUUUGAACUAUCUAUA